UACAGAGGUCUCAAGCGUUGUUCGGAUUCAUUGGGCGUAAAGGGUGCGUAGGUGGCGCUGUAAGUCGGGUGUGAAAUUUCGGAGCUUAACUCCGAAACUGCAUUCGAUACUGCGGUGCUUGAGGACUGGAGAGGAGACUGGAAUUCAUGGUGUAGCAGUGAAAUGCGUAGAUAUCGUAAGGAAGACCAGUGGCGAAGGCGAGUCUCUGGACAGUUACCGACGCUGAGGCACGAAGGUCAGGGGAGCAAACGGG
rnacentral:rRNA from 1 species